CCAGGAUUCUUGGGCUGUGCAAGGACGUCUGAUAAAUUGGAGUCUCCCUUUAGAUAUCCUGCCUUACCUAAACUUAAUGCAGUCAGUGGGCCAGUAAUCUCUUUAUGAGAUUUCCUCAUGAGUCUUCUCAUGAAAGGCUUCCUCUUCUAAUGUCUUAAGCAUCAAGGCCUAAGCUGGAGUUCUGGACAGAGGACCUCUAUCAUCAGUAUGACAUACUGGAGUAUUUCAGAGUUGGUAUUUUGCAGAGUCCUAUUAAAGUAGAUAGGUUCUAAAAGUAAUUCCAGAAUACACAGAUUCCUAUGAUAUGUAAGAAGUUAGAUUUGUUCAGUGUUGAACCAAAGUGGGUGGGGAGCCAAAGGGGAAUUCUAGAAAGAAAACAAUAAUCUAAUGUCUAGUUUCUCUAUUAUUUUCACCAGUUCCUGUACGUGCUAUGAAUAUGGGUAGACAUCAACAUUCUUUUUACCCUGUUGCUAUUAUUUAGCACAUUUAUUUAACCAUGCCAUUGACUUUCUGGGUGCAUUAAAGUGGAACCCAAGUGAUUAUUAGAUAAUGAUGGCAUUUAGACUAAGUGCCAUAUUCCUAAUGUUCCAAUAAGUGGUUGAUAUAGGGGGGACAGGAUACAAUGCCACACUAUCUAAUUAUAUUAAAAGAGCUGGUCUCCAUGUUAUGGAAUGCCUUCAUUACAGGAGAUUACAUGAUAUCUCUGCACCACUGAGUGGCCACCCAACAUGUUUUCCUGAAAGAAGGAUGGAUUUUCAGAUUCAUUUAUGCUCUCAUGCC
rnacentral:lncRNA from 1 species